AACGAACGCUGGCGGCAUGCCUAACACAUGCAAGUCGAACGAGACCUUCGGGUCUAGUGGCGCACGGGUGCGUAACGCGUGGGAAUCUGCCCCUCGGUUGGGAAUAACUGAGAGAAAUUUCAGCUAAUACCUUAUAAUGUCUUCGGACCAAAGAUUUAUCGCCGAGGGAUGAGCCCGCGUAGGAUUAGGUAGUUGGUGGGGUAAUGGCCUACCAAGCCGACGAUCCUUAGCUGGUCUGAGAGGAUGAUCAGCCACACUGGGACUGAGACACGGCCCAGACUCCUACGGGAGGCAGCAGUGGGGAAUAUUGGACAAUGGGCGAAAGCCUGAUCCAGCAAUGCCGCGUGAGUGAUGAAGGCCUUAGGGUUGUAAAGCUCUUUUACCCGGGAUGAUAAUGACAGUACCGGGAGAAUAAGCUCCGGCUAACUCCGUG
rnacentral:rRNA from 1 species